AGUGACCCUUGCUGUGUCAGCCUUUCUAUGCAUGAUCAGUUUGCUGUGAUCUAUGGAGAACUCCCACCUCAGGAAUUUGAAGCCUGUGGAAUGACUCUGAUGGUGGAAUUUCAAGAAUCAAGGGAGGCAAGUGAAGAUGAAACUUCAAAGCAGCAAAGGUUUCUUAACACCCUUCGAUGUUUAGGACAUAAGUGACCACUUAUUUAUGAGCUGUUCAUGGGUUAAGACUGAUCCUAGAGGUUGAUGGAAGAAGGCUAAUAAUGAAUCUCUUUGGCAUCGUCUAAUACAAGGUUCAUGUACUCAUCAAAACCAAUGAUACAGCCCUCUAUCCGCAUGUUUACUUGCUCAUAAAGCCACACCUGAAUCCGAGAUCUAUUUUGCAAGUAUCUGAAGAUGAAUUUGAUGGCUGAACCAUCACCUUCUGCACUUUUUGGCCCUGGCCACAGUACGCCAUGGUGGAAGCUGACAAAGACCGGUAUAUAAAAAUGUUUUCUAAGACGGAGAGUUCUUCUAUAGACAUUUCAGAAGAAGCACUACUAUUUUAUCUAGAAGGUGAAGAAAUACUUAGCACAAAGCCACCAUUGCAAUCUGUGGCAGGGUAGGUAGAUGAAAUGCUUCUUUUUGCUUGAGGGGUUGGCCAACAAUGUUUGAGGUAAUUAUAACUUAUUUCUUGCUUAAAGGAAAAGGUGAAAGGACUUGAGGAACACUUCUGUGUACUCCACACUGUGAGAAGGAUGUGUUGAAGAACUAACACACAAAAAAAGCUAGAUUAAAAAAACAAGGGGGAGGAGAAGGGAAAUGUUUGUCAACAAGUAGAUGUGAUGAACUAUCUUUUCCCAUUGGUAGAAAUUAGGCUUAUUCAUAGUUCUUUUUGAUUUGGUUUUUAAAUUUGCAUCCUUCUGUUAGAGCAUUGCUCUAGUUGUUUUAUACCUAUUUCUUUAAGUGUGCCUACCCCCGCUAUGUUGUGAAUUACAUGAGGCCAUGCAUUUUCUUUUCUCCUAUCCUUAGCAUCAAGCUGGAUACAGAAUAGAUCCUCAACAAGUGACUCAUGAAUGACUGAAAUUAUUUUUUACACUAUAGAAUUUUAGUUCUAAAACAGUCACUUCCCUGGGAAUGGGACAUCCCUGUGGGUCAUCUCAGAUAAUUUAGGAGGUGAGUAGAAGUAAUAAGCUGAUCUGAGUAGGGCUAGAUUAUUGACUAGUUAAGGAACAUAACCUCUUUUACCAUAAAUUGACAAUUUGAAACAUGAAUAUGAUGAAUUUAGCCAAAGAUGAUACCUUGAGGCAAAGAAGGUUAUACAAAAUCGAAUAUUAUCACAAGAAUAAGAUUCCAGAAAUACAUGUUUCUAGCAGGGCUGGCUUCAUGGGAGUGCAGCCUGUGUAGUCACAUGGAAUCCUAUAGUCAGAGGCCCUGCAUGUGGCCUAUGGUGUCCGAUUGCAGUCUUGAAAUUCUUAAUAAGUUUUGAACAGAGACCUACAAUUUCAUUUUUCAUUGGACCCUGUGAAUUCAGUAGCUAGUCCUGGCUACUAAUAAGAUGAUGGGAACCAUGAGGGCCAUGAUCAGAGAAGCUGCACUGGAUAGUAUCUGAGAAGAGCUAGGGAAGAAACAAGCAUGGGUUAUAAGAAGAACUCAUCUUACUUUGCCUCUGAGUGUGUUGCAGGCACUGUACAGGGCGCAUUUCUCAGGAGGGUGAAUGAUAGGGCCACUGGUCAAGAAAGGAUGGGUAUCCUCUGGGAGAGGAGUAUUCAGGGAGUUAAAAAGGAAGACCCUUUUCUCUGGGAGAAUGGGAAAGACAAAAAGGAGAGCUUGCAGGGAUGGAAGACUGGGAUAGUCUCAGAAAGAGGGAGGACAUACCUGCAAACUCAGAAUGAAAUAACCUGAAGUGCAGAGAAGGAAUCAUUAGGUAUUUCUAUU
rnacentral:lncRNA from 1 species